UACGUAGGAGGCGAGCGUUGUCCGGAGUUACUGGGCGUAAAGGGUGCGCAGGCGGCGGUUCGCGUGGCGAGAUGAAAUCUCCUGGCUUACCUGGGAGGGUGGUCGCCAGACGGGAUCGCUUGAGGGUCGGAGAGGGGCGUGGAAUUCCGGGUGGAGCGGUGAAAUGCGUAGAGAUCCGGAGGAACACCGGUGGCGAAGGCGGCAUCCUGGACCGGCACUGACACUGAGGAGCGAAAGCCAGGGGAGCAAACGGG
rnacentral:rRNA from 1 species